AACGAACGCUGGCGGCGUGCCUAACACAUGCAAGUCGAGCGCGAAUUGGGGGGCAACCCCCAUAGUAGAGCGGCGCACGGGUGAGUAACACGUGGGUAAUCUUCCUUCGGGCUCGGAAUAACCCAGGGAAACUUGGGCUAAUGCCGGAUAAGACCACGAUUCUAACUGUUUCGUGGGAAAAGCGGGAACUCCCUUCGGGGAUCUCGCACCUGUAGAUGAGCCCGCGGCCCAUCAGCUAGUUGGCGGGGUAACGGCCCACCAAGGCUAAGACGGGUUGCUGGUCUGAGAGGUAGAUCAGCCACACUGGAACCGACACCCGGUCCAGACUCCUACGGGAGGGAGCAGUGGGGAAUUUUGCGCAAUGGGCGACAGCCAGACGCAGCAACGCCGCGUGAGUGAUGAAGGUCUUCGGAUCGUAAAGCUCUGUCGGCAGGAACGAUGCUUUCGCUGGCUAAUAUCCAGCGGAACCGACGGUACCUGCAAAGGAAGCACCGGCCAACUCUGUGCCAGCCGCCGCUGUAAUAC
rnacentral:rRNA from 1 species